GACGAACGCUGGGGCGUGCUUAACACAUGCAAGUCGAACGGUGAAGCGCCUUCCUUUGGUGGUGUGGAUGAGUGGCAACGGGUGAGUAACACGUGAGUAACCUGCCCCCUUCUUCUGGAUAACCGCAUGAAAGUGUGGCUAAUACGGGAUAUUCUGUGCCUGCUGCAUGGUGGGUGUGGGAAAGAUUGGCCUUGGGUGUUUGGUGGGGGAUGGGCUCGCGGCCUAUCAGCUGUUGGUGGGUGAUGGCCUACCAAGGCGGUGACGGGUACCGCCUGAGAGGGUGGACGGUCACACUGGGACUGAGACACGGCCCAGACUCCUACGGGAGGCAGCAGUGGGGAAUAUGACAAUGGGCGCAAGCCUAUGAGCGACGCCGCGUGAGGGAUGAGGCCUUCCGGGUUGUGAACCUCUUUUCGUCAGUGAAGCAGGCCUGUACCCUGUGUGGGUGGGUGAUCGGUACUGGAUAAGAGCGCCGCUAA
rnacentral:rRNA from 1 species